AUUGAACGCUGGCGGCAGGCCUAACACAUGCAAGUCGAACGAGUGGCGGACGGGUGAGUAAUGUCUGGGAAACUGCCUGAUGGAGGGGGAUAACUACUGGAAACGGUAGCUAAUACCGCAUACCAUCAGAUGUGCCCAGAUGGGAUUCGCUAGUUGGUGGGGUAACGGCUUACCAAGGCGACGAUCCCUAGCUGGUCUGAGAGGAUGACCAGCCACACUGGAAAUGAGCAACGGUCAAGACUCCGACGGGAGGCAGCAGUGGGGAAUAGUGCACAAGGGGAGCAAGCCUGAGGCAGCCAUGCCGAGUGUAUGAAGAAGGCCUUCGGGUUGUAAAGUACUGUCAGCGGGGAGGCGUUACCCGCAGAAGAAGCACCGGCUAACUCCGUGCCAGCAGCCGCGGUAAUUC
rnacentral:rRNA from 1 species